rnacentral:rRNA from 1 species
GAUAAACGCUGGCGGCGCACAUAAGACAUGCAAGUUGAACGGACUUAAUCGAACUAUUUAUCUUUUGAAGCGGUUAGUGGCGGACUGGUGAGUAACGCGUAAGGAACCUGCCUAUUAGAGGGGAAUAACAGUGAGAAAUCAUUGCUAAUACCGCAUAUGCCAUAGAUAUCACAUGAUAACAGUGGGAAAGGAGCAAUCCGCUAAUAGAUGGCCUUGCGUCUGAUUAGAUAGUUGGUGGGGUAACGGCCUACCAAGUCGACGAUCAGUAGCCGGACUGAGAGGUUGAACGGCCACAUUGGGACUGAGAUACGGCCCAGACUCCUACGGGAGGCAGCAGUCGGGAAUAUUGCGAAAUGGAGGAAACUCUGACGCAGUGACGCCGCGUAUAGGAAGAAGGUUUUCGGAUUGUAAACUAUUGUCGUUAGGGAAGAGAAAGGACAGUACCUAAGGAGGAAGCUCCGGCUAACUACGUG